GGCCGCUAUAACCGUAAUUUCUUGGCCACUUACCUCGUUCCUCAUCUGAAGUUUUCAAAAUAUUAUAUACUAAUAAUACCAAAUAUCAUCAACCGCCAUUUCUGUUUUCAAGCACUAAAGUUCAGCUCUGGCCUAGCUAGUUCUUCACCAAAAUACUUUCCUCUCGCCUUCUCUGUAUUUUCAGGUAGAGGUAGAGUAUCGUCAAAAAUGUCGUCGACAAUGAAAGGAAUGUUUAUCAAGACUGCGCCGGAUUUUGGUAAUAAUCAGUGCUUAUUCAAGGGGAAGUAUAUCGAUCCGAGUGAUCAUUUUCUUUUUCGAGCGAACCGUUCUAUCUUACGCUUCACUUGGAAUCCUUAUCUCGUUUUCAAUGGUUUUGCUAAUUCAAAGAGCCAGAGAUUUGACCAGCCUUUGCAAGGCAGAAUCCGAGCGCAAGUUCUCACUCCGGUGUCUGAAUCGACCAUCAAAAAGGUCCGUCUAAGGUUAAACAAGUAUUCAACGUGCAAAGAUUAAUAAGAACAAGUUUAAUGCGAUUUUUUAUUAUAUAAUACUCAAAAUUAAUUAAGCUAAAUUUCGAGCUUAUAUUUAAAAAAAUAUAUGAUUUUAGGACUUAUCUUCAAAAUUUUCCACAACUUAUCAUUAGUUCUGGUGAUUGAUAAGUUGGAAAAAAAAAAAUCUGGUGAUUCACAUUACGGUUAUGUAUGGCAUUCUAGGAAUAUUCCCUGUGUAAUUAGCCUUUCCCCCACCCUCCAUUUUGUUGGGCCACCAGUUUGUUCCGUUUGGGAGACGCAUGGCCUGUGUAACAACUACCAACUGGGGCUGGAGCCCACUUUUUUGAGUGACGUGUCUCUCACUCACCUCCAUGGGAAUGAUGGGAUUGGUACUGUGCCUCUCACAUUGCCAUUGGGCUAGGCCGGCCUGGGCUGGUCCAUUCACCAAUGUUUUGUUCGAUGCAACAAUUUGGUCAGUCGCCAACAAUUUAUUGCGGAGUCAUAUUGAAAUCGGAGGGAAGCAACGAGAUCAUCUUUGGCAAUUUAAUUAAUUUCCUUUUAUUCUGCUUACUAGUGUCAAAGCCUGAAAAUUGGAACUUGAGCAAUUGUCAAGUGCUAAAGCUGGAAGUUCUGAAACAAGUGCAAGCUUUUUCUAAUUGAAUCUACCAGCUCUAGUACCAAAUUUCAAAUGUUUAAGCCCAAAUAUUUGAAGUUGUCAAUUUUGUAGCUAGACAGCCUCAACUUCAAAUUCAACGAUGGAAUUGGUAGACAAUAGUUGUUAUCCAGCUGAUAAAUGUGUACGGAUUAAUGCCUGCGAAAUAGUUCCUAGAGCUUCAAAGCUGAAACUCUUUUCUUCUUUCAUUUACAUAGCAAGUAUUUACUUUUGGCAAAGGAAGGAGCGAAGGCAACAAGAGCAUGAAGUCCUUAGUAAGUAAUCUUUGUCUAUAUUUAAACUAAGUAAUACUGCAUUUGAAGAGUUUUCUUUCACAUUUCACUUUUCUUUAGUUCGCAUCCGUCAUAGCAAAUGUCUUGUCAAGGAAAAUACAUUUUCCUCACAUCAUCUCUACCUAACAGAAUUUUGUUGGAAAGAACUAUAUUUCAUUUUACUGUCUAAUUCAUUUGAUGCGAUGAUUGUUUUUUCUUCUUCUUCUUAUAUAUCUUGAAAUAUGACAUAGAUAAGCAAUCCUUACUCCAAAUUAUUUUGCUUAUAUGAAGUUAUCCAUGUGUGCUUAUUAUAGUUGGGAGGGAAGGGAGCAAACCUGGCAGAGAUGGCAAGCAUUGGGUUAUCAGUGCCACCUGGACUUACCAUAUCAACAGAAGCAUGCCAAGAAUAUCAGCAGAAAGGGAAAAAAUUGCCAGAAGGUUUGUGGGAGGAGAUAUUGGAAGGCUUGCAAAGUGUGGAAGGAGACAUGGGAGCUUCCCUUGGUGACCCGUCUAAGCCUCUCCUCCUCUCUGUUCGCUCUGGUGCAGCGGUAAGAGUUUGGAAAGAUUAUCCAGGGCAAUGGCUCCUGAAACCACAGUCGACUCUAGCAGUCACUAUGACUAUGUGUACCUUCAGAGUGUUUAGACCGCCGCACAUACUAAUUAAGAUGUCAUCUGUUUGUCUAGAUUUCUAUGCCUGGCAUGAUGGACACUGUCCUUAAUCUUGGAUUAAACGAUGAAGUGGUAGUUGGUUUGAGUUUGAAAAGUGGAGAGCGUUUUACUUAUGACUCCUACAGACGUUUUCUAGACAUGUUUGGAAAUGUUGUAAGUGAUUCUUCUUGAUGCAGUCCAUAGAUUGGUGUAUCUCAUCCUUUAGCUUUUAUCAACUAAUGUGCUCCACUUCCAUAUAAUUACUCCAUUGACUCAAGGUUACAAAAAGAUGGAAAAUCUUAUGUGCAAUCUAUUGAUAUAUUCUUGAUUGUGAACUGAAACACAUUAUGUAUUCUUGAUAUGGAAUAGUCCUGUCAUCUUUAUCUCUGUUACUGAAUUUGUAGAAACAUUCUUCUACUUAAUUGAAGGUAAUGGGAAUCCCACACUCAUCAUUUGAGGAGAAGUUAGAAAAGAUGAGGGAUGCAAAGGGAGUCAAACUUGAUACUGAUCUAACAGCCCAUGAUCUCAAAGAGCUAGUGGAGCAAUACAAGAAUGUCUACCUUGAAGCUACUGGUGAAGAGUUUCCUUCAGAUCCAAAGAAGCAACUGCAGUUAGCUGUUAAAGCAGUGUUUGACUCUUGGGACAGCCCAAGGGCCAUUAAGUAUCGGAACAUCAAUCAAAUUAGUGGCUUAAAGGGAACUGCGGUAAACAUUCAAUGCAUGGUGUUUGGUAAUAUGGGAAAUACUUCAGGAACCGGUGUUCUGUUCACUAGAAAUCCAAGCACUGGUGAAAAGAAGCUAUAUGGGGAGUUUCUAAUUAAUGCUCAGGGAGAGGAUGUAGUUGCUGGAAUUAGAACACCAGAAGACUUGUGUACCAUGAAAAAUUGCAUGCCUGAAGCUUACAAGGAACUUGUGGAGAAUUGUGAAAUUCUAGAGCGCCAUUACAAAGAUAUGAUGGAUAUUGAGUUCACAGUUCAAGAAAAUAGGUUGUGGAUGUUGCAAUGCCGAUCUGGAAAGCGCACUGGUAAAGGUGCAGUAAAGAUAGCAGUGGAAAUGGUUAAUGAAGGGCUUGUUGAUAGUCACUCUGCAAUUAAGAUGGUGGAGCCGCAGCAUCUCGAUCAACUUCUUCAUCCUCAGUUUGAGGAUCCAUCUGCGUACAAGGACAAAGUAAUUGCAACAGGCUUGCCUGCUUCUCCAGGGGCAGCAGUG
rnacentral:misc_RNA from 1 species